ACGGAAGGCAGCAGUGGGGGAUAUUGCACAAUGGGGGAAACCCUGAUGCAGCGACGCCGCGUGAGUGAUGAAGUAUUUCGGUAUGUAAAGCUCUAUCAGCAGGGAAGAUAAUGACGGUACCUGACUAAGAAGCACCGGCUAAAUACGUGCCAGCAGCCGCGGUAAUACGUAUGGUGCAAGCGUUAUCCGGAUUUACUGGGUGUAAAGGGAGCGUAGACGGCAAGGCAAGCCAGAUGUGAAAGGCUGGGGCUCAACCCCGGGACUGCAUUUGGAACUGUCUAGCUAGAGUAUCGGAGAGGUAAGUGGAAUUCCUAGUGUAGCGGUGAAAUGCGUAGAUAUUAGGAAGAACACCGGUGGCGAAGGCGGCUUUCUGGACUGAAACUGACGCUCAGGCACGAAAGCGUGGGGAGCAAACAGGAUUAGAUACCCUGGUA
rnacentral:rRNA from 1 species